CGUCGUAUAAUCCCAACCAAAUACUUCUUUGCCCGCUCGUCGUUUGGGUUUGCGAUGCUGUCUUUUCUGGUGGCGUUCACCUGCAACAUCUACCAACAAUUAUAUGGCUGUCAGAAGACGAAGUCGAAGGACUUGAUUCCAUUCGUAAUGGAGCUCACCGUCUUCCCCGUCAUCUGUUUCCUGGUGUUGUUCUUUUGUGGCUCCGAUUUCGGUCUAUCUUUCCUUCGUCUUUGGCGUUGAGUCAACAAGCAUGAUCGUCCACAUCUUUGGAAUCUGCAGCUUCAUGAUGUAACGUGGGUUCUACCUAUUACGGUAUGCCACCUGUUCUAGCGGUUUGUGGUAGUAGAAGUCAUUGGCCAGUUAAUAUCUUGCGUGUACAAGCAGCAACAAAGGCAUGUUAUAUAUGGACGCUAUUUCAAUGUAACUUUAAUGUGGUUUUAUCUUCUAUCUUCGAUUAGAUGAUAUCGUUGCAACGGUAGUAGACAAAAGAGCUGACCAUGAAUAAUGGUGUUGGCCCUCUCUAUUGUUUUUGUUUUUGACCAAGUCCAUAUGACAAAGCUUUUGAUCGGAUCUUACCCUGUAUCGUCAUGUAUACUGUCUCAUGUCGAGUGACAGAUUUCCCCUGUCACAUGCAAAUUGCAGGGAGAUGUAUGGACGUUCUUUCGUUUUAAUCUUCUGUGACACUCACAUAGUCCAUAUCGUACAGUAUUGUUCCACCAAAGUUUGCACAUGCAAACGAAAUGAUUGGCUUCUUAUAGAAGCCAAUCAUUCAAGAAGCGAAGGAGGUCAAUUUUGGAUUACAAAAUGAUCAUUUAGCUUUUCCAUCCCCGGCGAGAAGCAUCCAGCAACCGGAAACCCGGUCUAUUUCGACAAGCUACCUUUUCGGAUCUUCUCGCACGCGUUCGUGAUUGGGUUGUCAAUCGCCGCUACGUCUCUCGUAUUGUUCCUAUCCUUCCUCGUCGCGCCUUACAAGGAGCAGCAGUUCCGCCGUGCCAUCCCAGUCAAGUACUUCUUCGCCUGCUUGUCAUUUGGGAUCGCGCUGCCGGCUUUUCUGGUGGCAUUCACCUGCAACAUCUACUUGCAAAUCUAUGGCGGACAGAGAUCGGAGUCGAAGGACUUGAUUAUACUCCUACUGGAGCUCAUCGUCUUCCCUUUCGUGUGCACCUAUUUUUUUCCGUCUUUCGGUUCUUUCUGGCGUUGACUCAGUUUUUGUCUCUAUGCUGUGAGGUGUGAGCUUUGACAGUCGAUGGAUGUCUGGUGUUGUUUUUAUAUGCCAUAUGCACUAUUUAAAUGGUUUAUUUUCGUAGUGAUUUUGCUUUAAGAUUCUUUUGAUUGUGGAUCAUGUUUGACUCAGCUUAUAGUUAUUCUCUCUUUCCUUACAAUUGAUUUCGAGGUGAUUGGGUACUUAUUUAUUUAAGAUGCAUUUUAUUUUCUUUUCCAUGAAUGUUGUUGGAUCCUCGUAUCAACCACAUAGUAUUGGUAGGUCACAUAAUUCUGAUCAUUUUUCUCGACUUUUCUGAUUUGUGUGUUCUCUCCUCUAAGAUACUCAUGAUAAAAUAUUUUUUUUAAAAAAAUAUAUUUUCUCCUCUGAUAAGAAUUCAUUAGAAAAAUUAAAUAAGUAAAAUCUUUUGGCUGAGGCUGUGCUACUUUUUUAUAUACUAAUCAUACGAUAAUAAGACGUCGAGAUCUAUAAACUAUGUAACAACUAUACUUACCAUUGUGAUAUCUCAACAUACAUAAUUUUAAAUCAAAAUUAUAAAAAAAUUAUAGAAUAUAGAGGAAGAUAUCGUCGAAAGUUAAGUAUAUGCUCGAGCGAUUUAUUAUAAUUUUUAACAUCACGACAGUCAAACAUCUAAUAUUUCUUGAAAAAAUUAAAAUAAUUAUUAUAUUAAAUAAUAUAUAUGUGAACUUAAACUUGAGAGUUAUUACUUAUGUAAUAAUGUGUUAAUCAAUCAAGCGUUUGAAACUUGUAUUAUUACUCGAUCCUGUUAAUCAAAGUUGAAGUUGGAUGAAAAUUAGGAGGACGUCUAUUAUUAGCAACCUUAAAUCAGCUAAAGUGCGCACGACAAAGCGAAGCUUUAAUUAACUGUAAUUCUUUUUUUUUUUGUUCUUUUUCAAAGUGAACUACAAUUCUUUUCUUUUUCAAAGGGGGAGGGAAAAUUAUUGAGAUGCGUAUUCUUCACGCAAACAUGAAUCAUCCUAAAAGGAAGGGAAAGAACAAAAGAAAAAGGAAAAGAUAGCAAUGAAAAUGAUUAACGCAAGCAUGCAUGUCUGUUCUUCAUUCUCUCACACACCGUCUCUGUCUUCAAAUCGAGAUUGUACGUCCAUGUCCUCCAUCUUUAAGCAGCAGCCACACCAUUCCUUUGUGGGGAUGGAAGACGACAAGAUUUGUCCCAGGUUUAAAGUUGUGCAACACAGUUCAUCCACGAUCUAGAAAACUUGAUGCGAAUAAAUGAAUGAAGGAGAUGUAUUACUGGGUUGACAAAAUUAAACUCGAAGAUCUGGUGGGUGAUCGAUUAAUUCAGUGUUUUUGGCUGCAGGCAAUGGGCAUUAAUGGUUAUGAUUGUUAUUGUUUUAUUUCCUUAAACCAGAAGAGGUGGGUCAGUGGCUCUCUGUUGCCACUUUUGAGGUAGGAAGGUACUCAAUUGCAGUGCAAUCCCACGCUAGCCCACAAGAAGAGGCAAAGCUAAUCAACCGAGAUUUGAGGAACGAUGGCUUCAUCUCCUGCCCAUCAUCAAUAUAAAGGGAGGCCUCCAGCAGCAACAGCAGAAGGAGGUGGAGGUGGAGGCGUGCAUACGGUCAUCCAGUGGCGCUAUGGGAACUCCCAACGGCUUGACCUCUUCUGUGUUUCCGGAAAGUGGGAACGAGCCCUCUUUGGAUUAUAUUGAUGAGAGAAGAAAAGAGACGAAGGAACCCCCGCACAAGCUCGACCAGCGGUACUUCCGCAUGGUGAAGUCUCACAUUCGUCAUGGAAGGAACGACAAACUCUUGGAUCUGGUCAAAAGUAAUCCCGAUCGCAGAGUGAACCUCAUGGAAGACACUUUGCUCCACAUCGUCAUCGCUUGUGGGAAGACCGACCUCGCCAAAAGUCUCAUCGGGCAGAUGGGGGCGGUUCACCUCAAGGCCAAAAGUUGGAACGGCGACACACCUCUUCACGUCGCUGCCGCCGUGGGUGACUGCGAGGUGGCCACUGAGCUGGUCCGCAACAACAAAGAAAUCAUCAGGGAGCGGAACUUGAAGCUGGAGACGCCGCUGCACAAAGCGGCGCUGUACGGGCAGCGGGACAUGUUCUGGUGCAUCAUUGAGGAGGACAACGACUGCUUCAAGGACCGGAGGGAGGAUGGAGCCACCGUGCUGCAUUGUGCCAUCAUGGGUAAUGCGCCGUGUAAGUUCAACACCAAUAACCCACAGAAUACUUGGCGUGACUCUAUCGACUUAGCUUCUCAUCAAAAUUUAGCUUCAUGUAGCGCUUGCAUUGGAAAUUGCAAGGCAAUAUCCAGAGCUGAUCACGUCACGGAAUGCUGAUGCGGUGGCGCCGUUGCAGCUAAUGGUGACCAUUCCCGGGUUAUUCCGAAGUCAGAUGGCGCUUGGCUCCCUUGAAUCCUUUCUCUUCAGAUGUAAGAGCUAUCCCUCCUCUUCAAUUUUCAUGCUCUUUUCCUUUCGCCACUCUGUUUUCUUUUUCGUUUUUUGGUUUUGACGGCAUAUUCCAGUGAUUCCUUUGGAAGAGGACUCUCCCAAGGCUCGUGAUGGAGACGAAGAAGCACCUAAAAGCACGGAUGUAUGUGUUUCUGAAUGAAUGAUUUGACUUCACAUGAUAGAUUGAAGUUAUGAGUAAUGCUAUUCUGACUUUGGUGCACACAUGUAUGUAAUCUCAAGCGAGCGAACGUCACAGAAGAAAUAGAAGAAGAUGACUAUGAAGAUUUGGAGAGGCCGAGAAGAAUUCGUUCAAAAUUCCCAUCUCAAUACAGACCUCUCUUCGACCUAUUGGAAUUGAUGUACAUUCCAGGUACCACUCAUUUCUCACGGUUCUGGAUCCAUUAUUGUAAUUGGAUUACACUGAUUUAUGCUUUUUAUCUAUAUAUGCAGCCAGAUGGAUUCAACUGCUUCUUUUCAACAUUUUAAUGCAACGUGAGUGACCGUUCCCAAAGAUCGACUUGACUGCAGCAUUGAUUUGUUGGCCUCUUCUGAUGUUAUUGUGAUUGCAAUGCAAUGCAUUAUGCAGUAUCCCCAAGAAUCCGACGUCUGGAGGAGAUAAAGAGAACCCACAGAGCAGCUUUGCAACUUAUCGAGUAUUUAGUCCACAAAGAAGAAUACGUGGAUUUCUUCAGCCAGGGAACCGAUGGGGUGGCUAUAGAAGGUUUUGAACACCCAGCAGAAGCCACUGGCGAACGACACCGAGAAAGAGGAGGGCGACGAGAUCAGCUGGUCAUUGCGUUUGCGGAAAAGUUUUUCAGAUUCGCGUCGCACGGCGAUGACAGAGUCACAGAAGAGGAGCUGCGUAAGUGCAUGCAGGACGCCAUAGGGGCACUGUCGCCUGAGUCUGCUAGAUGGAACGAACCACCAUUGAUCUUGGGAGCCCAAAUGGGCCUUCCCGAGUACGUCAGGACGAUCUUAAAGGUGUCUCCACAGGCUGCGACCUACUUGGACACCAAAGGGAGAAGCGUUCUCCAGGUGGCGAUCGAGCAUGGUAACCUGGAGAUCGUAGAAACCAUACGCGAGAUGACCGAGGGGCACAAUCCCAUUCUGCCGUCCUGGCUACUGUCCUGCGUCGAUGGAACCACCGGAGGAACCAUCCUGCAUUUUGCCUCGGCGAAAGGCCCUGAUAAUUACCAAGACGCGAUGCAAAUGCAAGAUGAACUAAGAUGGUUUGAGGUCCAGUUGCUAACUUCAUUAACCUUGCUUUGAUUCAUCUAUCGAAAACCUCUUCUGUUUUUGACUGGCACUUGGUUGCAGACGGUGAGACACAUGGUUCCUAAAGAACUAGUGAACUAUCAAAACGAGAGACAGAAGACAGCACAGGAGAUAUUUACGGAAAGUCACCAAGAUAUGCUCAAGAACUGCAAGGAUCAACUAAUGGAGAUGGGCAAGACAUGUUCGAGCCUUGUGGCGGCCGUGGUCUUUGCGUCGAGCUUCUCCAUCCCCGGCGAGAAGGAUCCAGCAACCGGAAACCCAGUCUACUUCAACAGACUGCCUUUUAAGAUCUUCUCACACGCGUACGUGAUUGGGCUGUCAAGCGCCGCUACGUCUCUGGUGUUGUUCUUAUCCCUCGUCAUAUCGCCUUACAAACAGCAGCAGUUCCGCCGUGCCAUCCCGGCCAAAUACUUCUUUGCCUGCUUAUCAUUUGGGGUGGCGCUGAUGGCUUUCCUGGUGUCGUUCACCUGCAACAUCUUUCUGCAAAUCUAUGGCGGGCAGAGAUCUGAGAGGAAGGACUUGAUUCCGCUCUUGCUCGAGCUCAUGGUCUUUCCAUUCGUCUGUGUUAUCGUGUUGCUCUAUCGUGGCUCGAGUUUUGGUCCAUCUUUUGCUCGCCUUUGGCGUUGAGUCAGUAGUUAUUGCGAUCAUUGUCCACACCUUCCAAUCUGCAGCAUGAUGUCGGGACAGUACGUGAUGUGUUGAAUUCCGUAACUUUUAUCAACGAUAAGAAUGAUUUUGAUAAAUUGUUAAUUGGAUUUCUUUAUACCACCCAAAAAGGUUUCUUUUCAGAUGCAUAAUAUAUAAAUGUUGACUACUUGAGAUGAAGAUUUAUGAAAUAAAUAGCGAAGGUCGCAAGAUGUCAUGCUAAAUAAGUUGUUUUUAAAAUUUGAAUGGAUAGAUAUUAAUAAAAGAAGUAACCCUUUCAAACAGUAUAAUAUAAUUUUAUAAUUUAUAAUCGUUGAAAGACCAGAAAAAAGAAGAAGCUAUAAAAGAAGAUGAUGAUAAAAAGAGAAUUUAUGUUUGUUCGAUAUGCUACCAUCACUUAUUAUCGUCUGUGAUGAGGAGAAGAAGGGACGAAGGAAAUAUAUUUACGUCUAUUCGUAGAUAGAUUUUUUAAAAAAUUUUAAAAUAAGAUGAUAAAUAUAAAAAAGAAAAUGGCAGGUUUGGGAAGAAAUUUAAAGUAGCUUAAAUUGAGACGGCUGUUCUUUAUGUAAGCUUGACAAACACGAGUGAAAGACAAAGUGAAGUGUGUGCAGUUGUCCUUUUUCUUUUACGAUUUAUUCAAAGACUGCAGCUUAAUUUAACAAAAGCCAUCGCAUUUGCCUAAUUUUGCUUUUGUAUAGGGAACGAAAGAACAAAGACACGUUGGGGAGAAUCGGCUUUUUGUACUUUAAUACCGUCGGAAGAGUUACCUAACAUAGCGAUCUAUGAAAGCUCGAGUAGAGAAUCUGAAGCUAUUACCCAAUGAGAAGCAAAGCUACUCGAUCAACUGGGAAUGAGGAAGGUGGCGUCUGUCGGUCGAUGGGGACCAACUUCAUCACCUCGUCUCCUCCUCCCCUUGGCCAUUAUAUAUUUAGUGGUUGGUGAGAACGUAGCGAAAGGAGCGGCUCCCUUCGACGUGUUACGGAUAUGGCGGCUCCUUCCAGCACCCAAAAGCCGACGCUUGCUACUGAUGCAGGCACCGGAUCAGGGACAAAAGGAGAGAAACAGCCGUCUGGCUCCGGGAAAGGCGCAGGUGAUGGUGGAUCAGAGGAACCACCGCAUGUCCUGGACGUGGCACGCUUCCAACGACUGAACUCGCUCAUCCACCGUGAGAACGUGGACGUGAACGAACUCCUGCGUCUAGUGGAGCAGAAUAACCACGUGAACCUCAUGAACGACCCGCUGCUCAGCGUCGUCAUCGCCUGCAAGAAGUCCAAGCUCGCCGUCCGCCUAAUCGCCAAAAUAUCAUCAAAUGACAUUCUCGAGGCCUACAACUACAACGGCGACACGGCGCUUCACGUGGCUGCAGCCAUGGACGACAAAGAAGUGGCCUCGGAGCUGAUCCGCAGGGUGCCAGUUCUCGUUCGUGUGCGGAACGGGAAGCAGGAGAUACCGCUACAUAAGGCGGCCCUGUACGGGCAGAAGGACAUGUUCUGGUUGCUGGUGGAAAAGAACAGCUCACCGGAAGCCCGGAGGGAGGACGGCGCCACCAUGCUUCACUGUGCCAUCAUGGGCAAUGCGCCAGGUAACUAUCGCUACAUCCUCUUUCCCUUGUACAUGGUUCAACUUCAAUUAGCAUCUCGGUACGCCUGCAGUACUCGCCAUGGAGAUUGCAAAGACUUAUCCAAUUCAGGUUGAAUCCCGGAAUGAGCGCGCCCUCACUCCGCUGCAGCUGUUGGUGACUAUUCCUGAGGCAUUCCGAAGCCAAGUAGUUCUUGGGGCCCUCGACUCCUUCGUCUACGAAUGUGAGUGCUACCCUCCUCUUCUCCUUUUUCUCUACAUACAGCAAUAAUUCUCAUCUACGAUGAGGCUAAAAAAUCAAUUAAAAUGUGCAUAAGUAUAUUCGUAGAGCUCUUUGGUUUUACAUUUCAGGGAUUCCUUUGGAAGAGGACUCGAGUAAAAUGAACAAAAGGGAUGAAGAGGUGGCACUCGACAGAUCUGUAUGUGGCUUAUGCAUGAAUGACUUUUUACAUGACACUGCUUCGAAUCAUGAGUACAUCGGUUACGUUUAGCUCUCUGAUUCGGUUCUCUCUGUGGCAUGCACAUGUAAUCUCAAGCGCAUUGGAGUAGCACAAGACGAUGACGGUGACCACUCGCCUAAGACUUUUCGCUCAAAAUUCCCAUCAAACUACAGCACGCUCUUUGACCUGUUGGAGUUGACCAGCAUCCCAGGUGCUCGUUCUAGCUUCUCUACUUGCCAAUAAUAUCCAUCGUAAAGUGAAAGGCCCUUAAUCUAUCAUGUUAUGGUUAUUAAAGGUAGGAUAACAUUGAUUUAUGCAUGCAUUUUGUCCUGCAGCUGGCUGGAUUCAGCGAUUUGCUUAUAACAUUAUAUGGCAAUGUGAGUUAACAGUUCUUACACCUAUACUUUUCUUAGCAAAUGAUGUAUGUCUUACAAAAAUUUAAAAUACUUUAUGGUAGGUUUUUACGGUACAUGAUUAAUGCUAACUGAAAUGCAUGGGUGCAGUGUCCCCGAGAGUCCAACGUUUGGAGAGGAAGAAGAAGAACCAUACAGAAACUAUGCGCCUCAUCGAAUACUUAGCCAAAGAAGGAUACUUCGAGUUCUUUGUGCGUGGAAAAGAUCCCACCCAAGUUACAACAAUUACUUCAGAAGCGCUUGACGACCAAUUUGAUAAGCAUGGUCCACCGGAGUCUGUAAAAGAAGGUGAUGCCCAAAAAAAGGACGCGGAAGCCCCAGCUGCAGUGAAAGAGCUCAUUAAGGGGAUGACCGAUAAGCUCUACAAAUUAUUGUCGAAGGAAUCGGAAACACCGGUCUCAAUUGCAAUCAAAGAGGCGGCUCAGAGUGUGGAGAAAGUGUUCAAGGCACUGUCACCUAGCUCGGAAGAGAGAUGGAACGUGCCACCCUUGAUCUUAGGUGCACAAAUGGGCCUUCAUGAUUUCGUCGGAAAGAUCCUGGAAGUGUGCCCACAGUCAGCAACCUACCUGGACACGAAGGGCAGAAAUGUUCUCCAAGUGGCGAUAGAAUCUGGGAACCGAGAGACUGUAGAAACUAUCCGUAAGAUGACCCAGGGAGACAACCCCAUUUUACCAUCCUGGUUGUUGUCCAGAAUCGACUCUAAAACCAGAAACACCAUCCUGCAUUUUGCUUCUGAGACGAUCGGUGAUACCGGAGACGAUGCAGUCCAAAUGCAAGAUGAGAUCCGAUGGUUUGAGGUCACGUACUCCCAGUGUUCGAUCAUAUGUCUCAUAAGAGAAAUAUCUGUCAUUGUAAAAUUCCAUGUGAUCAUUAAUUAAUCGUAUGCAUGCAGAUGGUGAAAGAGAUGGUGCCUAGGGAGCUCGUGUACAGUCGAAACGCGGACGAGAAGACAGCGCGGGAGAUCUUUACCGAGAGUCACAAAGAGAUGUUUAAGGACUGCAAGAAUCGGCUAAUGGAGAUGGGCAAGACAUGUUCAGGCCUCGUAGCGGCGGUGGUUUUCGCGUCCAGCUUCUCCAUCCCGGGCGAGAAGAAUUCCAAAACCGGCAACCCUGAGUACUUCAACAGGUUACCCUUUAAGGUGUUCACGCAUGCGUACGUGAUCGGGUUGUCGUGCGCCGCCACGUCUCUGGUGUUGUUCUUGUCCCUCGUCAUCUCGCCUUACAAGGAGCAGCAGUUCCGCCGUGCCAUCCCCACCAAGUACUUCUUCGCUUGCUUCUCGUUUGGGUUGGCGCUGACGGCUUUGCUGCUGGCCUUCACAUGCAACAUCUUCCUACAGAUAUAUGGCGGGCAGAAAACACUCACGAAGGACAUCCUUCAACUGGUACUGGAGCUUACCGUCUUCCCCACUGUCUGCUUGGUUGUGCUCCUCUACCGUGGUGCCAAUUUUGGUCCGUCUUUUUUCCGUCGUAUUUGGUGUUGAGUCAAUAAGCGUUAAUGUCAGGCAUACUUCCUCGGCUUCGUGGUCUGUGCCAGUAGAACUCUUGCGUGUGUUUGUGUGUGGUAUUAAAUUCUGAUAAUUCCUGAAUUGUACUCGCAUUUAUUUCGAGACUACUAUGAAUUGGACGUAUUUUGACUUUUUUGAUUUGAAAUUUGACUAUGCUAAACAUCUUGUGCUCUCGUUUGCAAUCAUAAAAAAUCAUAACAUUUGUGCUGCUGUUCAUCAUCCAUCAUAAACAAAAAAACAAAAAAAACAAAAGAAACUCAAAUGCCAAUAAUAGAAAAGAAGAAGAAGAACAAACAGAGCAAUGGGAAGAGUUCUGUUUUCUUUCUUAUGUGUUGCAUGCAAUUGACAACUGCAGUCCUUGGGUUCUUCUAAAUGGGACUGUACUAAUCUCAGAUCAACCUAUUACGAACAAAUCUCAUCUUGAGCAUCAUAGAAGAGCAAAAGGUCAAACUAAAUGAGUAAAUCCCUCGCCAGAAACCUAUCUGUCGUGACAACUCUACCUUAAGAAACUAAGUUCUUUGUUAUUACUAUAAUUGAGACGGCAAACGAUUCAACGGUUGUUUCGUCAUCGACAUUUACUAUUUUCUUGUUUUCUUUUGGAUCGUUUUCAUGUCAUUGUCAAUAUUAAUGGUAGUGAGAAAUGUUUGGUAGCCUUUCUCUUUCCAACCGUGACAUUUAUCUUCCAAUAUUCAUCAUCAUGUCAUCAUUUCCCUUUCGGCGAGUCAUCUUAUUGUCACUAGACGUGAGACUAAAUCAUAUCUGAAUAAUAAAUUCUUUUGGCUCGCCAUUAAAGAAAUAGACACCUAAAGACACCCACUCGAGGAUAACGUGAUUUGGUGCUACAACAAUUGCAUGUUGCUGUUGACAACGUCGAGAGCAGAAGAUUAAACAAAGAGACGGAAAAAAAGAUGUUGCCGUAAUCCGGGUGGACAACAAGAAUCGGAGACUCACCAAUGGGUUCUCAACUCCGUAGACUUGCUAUGAAUAUGAUCUACAAAAACCAAGGGGGAAGGAAGUGUACGACGAUGGAUGAGAGCCAAAAGGAUCAGCUAGUCUGCUUGUUAAGGCAGGCCUUCAGGUUGCUUUAGUUUCGCAGUGGAAAUCAGGAGGCGAAGGCGUACGAACGAGUUGUGCCCACCAUUUAUGGGGGAUCCCUCUCUUGCCCAUACGGAUUCCAUUCAGGACGGCACGGAGGAUGCUGAUCCACCGCACGAGCUCAACAGGAAACAUUUUCUCACGGUGAAGUCUCACAUCCGUCAGAAGAAGCACAAGGAACUCUUGGCUCUAGCCGAAGAAGAUCCUGGUCGCCCUGUGAACCUCAUGAACGACACUUUGCUCCACGUCGUCAUAGCUUGCAACAAGGCGGACCUCGCCAAAAGUAUUAUCUUGCAGAUGCCAGUGGAGACCCUCGCGGCCAAGAAUUUGUACGGCGACACGGCUCUUCAUGUCACUGCCGCCGUGGGUAACAGCGAGGUGGCCAAGGAGCUGUUCGACACAAGAGAAGAUCUCAUCGGAGAACAGAACCUGAAGCAGGAGACACCACUUCACAAAGCGGCGUUCUACGGGCAUCAUGACAUGUUCUGGUGCCUGGUGGACGAGGGGAAGGGCUCCCCGCACGAGCGGAGGGAGGACGGCGCCACCAUGCUGCACUGCGCCAUCAUGGGCAACGAGCCGGGUUAGCCAUCAUCACUGGUUUGGUUGGUCUGGCUCAGGCCAGCUGGUUUUAUCUUGUUUCUAUCUUAUUUAUUUAAAGUGUUAUAUGUGGAUCAUACUGCUUCCGCAUCUUUGUUGUGAUGAAGGUGAGUAAGUUGACGCAGGGCUAGCACUGGAGAUUGCAGAGCGUUUUCCAUUGCUGAUCACGUCGAGGAAUACUAUGGCGGUAACCCCGUUGCAGCUGAUGGUGACCGUUCCGGGGUUAUUCCGAAGCCAAAUGGUACUGGGCUGCUUCGAGUCCAUCCUCUAUGGCUGUAAGUGCUGCCAGCCUCUUCCUUCAACUUCCCCAGCGCCUCCCCCUCCCACACCCCACCCCCACCACCCCCCUUGAUUUUUCGGAUUUAUUAUAUGGUUUUGUCUGAUUUGAUCUCUGUUCUUUAUUCUUUCACUUGUCUCCUGCUUCUUCCCUCAAUUCGCCCUUUUGUCGUCACCCUUUCGUCCCUGUUCUUUCUUCUUCGAGGAGGAGACGAGAAGGAGGAGGAGAGCAAGCGACACAAGGUUGACCAGUUCACUCAUCCAAACUGGCUUAGUGAAUCAUUUCAACAAAUUUGAAACGAAAUUAAUUAGAAUAGGAGGAUAAAAUAGAGGGGCGUGAUAGAAAUCAAUUACUAAUUAUUUUUUAGGUGAAUUACUUUUUGUAUAUAUAUAUAUAUAUAUAUAUAUAUAUAUAUAUAUAUAUAUAUAUAUAUAUAUAUAUUACAAUCCGAUCUAAAAAGAUAAUUGACUUAUUAACUUCAUUAAACUUGGACCAUUGAUCUGAAUAGUUAAGCUCAAAUUAAUAAUAAUACACUCAUCAAAUCCCUAUAAAUUAAUUUUAGAAUUUAUCUAUUUUUUUAUUUUCGAUGUGAAGUAAAAUUAUAAUUGUCCUAAGAAAAAUAUACUUACGAUGAAACUUAAACAUCAAGCGUUUUGAUACCAGCAGUGUACAUGCUCCUAAAAUUUUGAUCUUACAUUUCAGUUAUUCCUUUGGAGAAGGACUCACACAGGACACGUCAAAGAGAUGAAGAGGAGGCAAGUGGAAGCUCCAACGAUGCCGGUGUAUGUGAUUCAAAUCAUCAACAUCUUUUCCAUCACAAUAUCAAUAGUCCACUAUUGUCUCUCUCAUUUGUUUCUCACUUUGGCGUUUACAUAUAUAUAAUCUCAAGCAAGCUGAAGCCACAGAGCAAGAUGACCACGAAUAUUUCGGGAGGCAGAGAACAAUUCGUUCGAGAUUUCCAUCUUGCUGCUGUACUCUCGUUGACAGAUUAGUCAUCCCAGGCACUCCUACUAGCUUCUCUGUCUACAAUUUUUGUAGUCAUCCAUGUUCUGUUUCACUACGCUGAUGUUUUCCUUUUUGUCCUUGCAGUCAAAUGGGUUCAUCUGUUUCUUUUCAUCAUUUUAAAGACUUGUGAGUAAUUGUUCCCAAACAGUGCAUUGAUGAUAUUUAGAGUCAUGUCCUACUGUUUCAUUACGAGUUUUAGCAAAUUAGGAUAGUACUAUAGAAAAGGCUUCUUGUAAUUUAGUUCUCCAAAACCAAGUAGUUUACAUGAUGGAUAAUCAUAGCUAAUUUUCGGAAAAUCAUAAAUGGGAUGAUCAUGUCGCUGACUUCUUCUGAUGUUAAUUUGGAAAUGCAAUGCGUUAUGCAGUGUACCCUCGAACCCGACAUCUGGAGAAGAUUAAGAGAACCCAUAGAAAAGCCUUGGAACUCAUCGAAUUUUUAGCCCGCGACCCGAGAAACAUGGAGUUCUACGUGCUGGGAAGAAAACAAGGUGACGGCGGAGCUCCUGCGGCAGGCUUUCGAGAAAGAGGUGAGGGACAAGAUCAACUUAACACACCAGCUGCGUCUACCAGAAGAUGGAACGAGCCACCCUUGAUCUUGGGUGCACAAAUGGGCAUUCCCGAGUUCGUCAGUACCAUCUUACGAGUGUGUCCGGAGGCAGCUACCUACCUGGACACCCGUGGCCGAAGCGUUCUCCAAGUAGCAAUAGAGCAUGGUAACCGAGAGAUUGUGAGAACUAUACGUGAGAUGAUUCGGGGGAAGAAUCCCAUACUACCAUCCUGGCUACUGUCCCGCGUCGACAAAAGGACCGGAAGAACCAUCCUGCACUUGGCUUCGGCAACUGCCCCCGAGCAUAACCAAGAUGCUCUACAAAUGCAAGAUGAAUUAAGAUGGUUUGAGGUCAAGUCCCUGACUUCAUUAACUACAAAUAAAUCAUUAUAUUCUCAGAGUUGCCUGCUAAAUUUGAUCGUUUUCUGACAUUUGAAUGCAGACGGUGAGAGAUAUGGUUCCUAAGGAAUUAGUGUACAGUCGGAACGCGCAAGAGAUGACCGCAGAAGAGAUGUUUACUGAGAGUCACCGGGAGAUGCUCAAGAGUUGCAAGGGUCAACUAAUGGAAACGGGCAGGACGUGUUCAGGGCUUGUCGCUGCUGUAGUGUUCGCGUCGAGCUUCUCCAUCCCCGGCGAUAAGGACCCAGCGACCGGCAACCCGGUUUACUUCGGUAGGGCAGCUUUUACGGUCUUCUCACAUUUUUACGUGAUUGGGUUGUCAUGCGCCGCCACAUCUCUGGUGUUGUUCUUAUCCCUCGCCAUGUCACCGUACAAGGAGCAGCAGUUCCGUCGUAUCAUCCCAACCAAAUACUUCUUUGCCCGCUCGUCGUUUGCGAUGGCGAUGCUGUCUUUUCUGGUGGCGUUCACCUGCAACAUCUACCUACAGAUAUAUGGCUGGCAGAAGGCGAAGUCGAAGGACUUGAUUCCAUUCGUAUUGGAGCUCACCGUCUUCCCCGUCAUCUGUUCCCUGGUGUUGUUCUUUCGUGGCUCCGAUUUCGGUCUAUCUUUCCUUGUUCGUCUUUGGGGUUGAGUCAACAAGCAUGAUCGUCCACAUCUUUGGAAUCUGCAGCUUCAUGAUGCACGUGGGUUCUACCUAUUGCGGGUAUGCCACCUGUUCUAGUGGUGUGUGGUGGUGGUAGUCAUUGGACAGUUAAUAACUUGUGUGUACAAGCAGCGACAAAGGCUUGUGAUGUAUGGACGCUAGUUGAUUGCAACUUUAAUGUGUUCUUUUCUUCUAUCUUAAAUUAGAUGAUGAUAUAGGCGCAGCGGUAGACAACAGAUCCGAUCACCAAUAAUGGUGAUGUCCCUCUCUAUUGUUUUUGACGAAGUCAAUAUGACAUAACUGUUGACCGGAUCUUACCCUGUAUUGUCAUGUAAAUGUCACAUGUCGAGUGACAGAUUUCCCCUAUCGUAUGGACGUCCUUUGGUUUUCCCAGAGGUCGGCUAGAACAUAGGCUCGAGUCUUUUUGAAUAUUCUGUGACAAAUCACAUAGUCCAUAUCGUAAAGUUUUGGCCCACCAAAGUUUGCACAGGCAAACGAAAUGAUUGGCUUAUAGAAGCCAAUCAUUCAAUAAGUGAAGGACAUCAAUUUUGGAUUAAAAAAAUAUCAACAAAAUACAAAUCACCUUUAUAGAAAGGAAAGAAAACUCUCCGUGGAGAGCUUUAUUGCACUCCUUCCCAUCCAUCAUCUAUGGAGUCAAAUAAGAAAGAUUCAAGAGAAGAUAGGAAUGGUCCGAGUGAAGAAGACAAACUAACGAGCAGCAAUGCUCGUCUAUUCCAAAGACCUGCCACGAGAAUAAUACAGCGAGAAAAAAAGAAAGAAAAGGAAGAAGCUUAUUUAUGAGGUGCGAAAGGUGAUGGACAUCCGAUUCACGCCGUUGCAGCUGAUGGUUACCAUCCUCUUCCGAAGCCAACUUGUGCUCGGCUCCUUUGAUUCCUUGCUCGCCCUUUCCCAAUUACUUUUUACAUAAAAUUAAUAUAUUUUAUGUAAAAAUAUAUUAAAUUUUAUAAAAUAUAUUCUAAAUUAUUCAAAAUAUAUUAUUACACUCUCAUUCAAAGAACGUGUUAAAAAAAAUAUUUUUUUUUAUAAAAUUAUCCUAAAUUCAUCAUAAAACUAAUCAUAAAAUUCUACAUCUCUUAUUUUCUAUUUCUUAUAUUGACUUAGUUAUGUUCAAAAUUAAAAUAAAUUAAAUUCGAUUACCUAACCUAUUUUAAUAUUAAUAUUUUUUUUACUUUUAGAUAUAUCUAGAAUAAUUAAUUAUCAAAACUUUGAGAAUUCUACUAUAAUUUGAUUCUAACAAAAUUAUAAUAAAUUUAUAUAAAAAUUAAUAUAUCUUAGUAAAUUCGAGUGUAACUUGGAUGUAAGAGAUUUGGCUUAACUUGAUUCUACUGGAUUCGAAGGGAUCCGACCCAAAUCGAUCUAAUUCAGAUCGAAUCAACCUGCUAAUCAGUCAGGUUUAAAAUAGUCUAUUUCAAAAGUAUUAUCAAAAUUUUUAAAGAAAAUCACCUUUUGUAUGAGCUUUUAUCUUUAUACAUACAAAGUAUCCUAUUAAACAUGAGGUAUUACAAAAAAAAAAAAAAAAUCCCUCUCCAAAGACCUCCUGUCAUGUCAACUCUAGUAAAAUCCCUAUUAACUAGAGAAAGAAGUUCUUCGUUUAUACUAUAGUCGAGACUGCAACCGAUUCAUUGUUAUUUACUCAUUUUCUUUUGGUUCGUUUUCAUGUCAGUGUCAAGCUAUAUGAUAGGUAAACAAGUGUUUGGUACCCUGUCUCCGUUCCACCAUGCGCUGACGUUAUCAGAUUCCCUUUCGCUGAUCUAUAUAUCUUAUUGUCAGAAGACGUGAGACUGAAAGUGAUAUGUUGGAGGAAAGUAUUGAUUAUAUUUCUAUUUAUUAUUGGUUGACCGAUGGAGAUGGUUACUUUACUUGGGAUGUCAUGUUGAGGUAAUUAAAUCAUGCCAACGCAGAUUCGAAUAAUAAAAUUCCUUUAGCUUGUCAUUAAGCAAAAGACACCCACUCGAAGAUAACGUGAUUUGGAGCUACAAAUGAUAACACUGAGAGCAAAAGAUUCAAUAAAGAGAUGUUGCCAUAAUCCCGGGUGCAUAAAAAGAAUCGGAGACCAACCAAAGGGUCAUCAACUCCAAAGACUUGCGAUGAGUAUGAUCUACAAAACCUUUUCUAUAAGGUGCAAGUUGAAUGAUCGGUGGAGACCCACAAGUAGAGGUUUGGGUGCAAGCUUCCGGAUUAUUGUUUCCUGUAGAGCAAGAAUCGUUGACCCACAAGUUAAAGCUACUGUCUAGCUUUAACGUAUGUGAAUUAUUCAUUAGUAGGUUGGCCUCUGUAACAUACGAUUAAUUUGUUGUCGAAUCUUUUGUGACUGAGAUGAAAACGGAGACCAACCAAUGGGUUCUCAACUCCGAAGACUUGCGAUGAGUAUGACCUACAAAAACCAAGGGGGAAGGAGGUGUACGACGAUGGAUGAGAGCCAAAAGGAUCAGCUAGUCUGCUUGUUAAGGCAGGCAUUCAGGUUGCUUUAGUUUCGCAGUAGAAAUCUGGAGGCGAAGGCGUACGCACCAUAUAGCAACUGCAUGCUAUGGGGGAUCCCGCCGCUCUUGCCAAUACGGAUUCCAUUCACGACGGCACAGAGGAUGCUGAUCCACUGCAUGUUCUCAACAGGAGACAUUUUCUCACGGUGAAGUCUCAUUUCCGUCGGAAGAGGCACGAGGCACUCUUGGUUCUAGCCGUGGAAGAUCCUGGUCGCCCGGUGAACCUCAUGAACGACACUUUGCUCCACGUCGUCAUAGCUUGCAACAAGACCGACCUCGCCAGAAGUAUUAUCUUGCAGAUGCCAGUGGAGACCCUCGCGGCCAAGAAUUUGUACGGCGACACGGCUCUUCAUGUCGCUGCCGCCAUGGGUAACAGCGAGGUGGCCAGGGAGCUGUUCGGCAGGAACGAAGAUCUCAUCGAAGAACAGAACUUGAAGCAGGAGACACCACUGCACAAAGCGGCGUUCUACGGGCAUCAUGACAUGUUCUGGUGCCUGGUUAACGAGGGGAAUGGCUCCCCGUACGAGCGGAGGGAGGACGGCGCCACCAUGCUGCACUGUGCCAUCAUGGGCAACGAGCCGGGUAAGCGGUCAUCACCAGUUUCGUUGGCCAGCUGCCUUUAUCUUGUUUUUAUCCUAUUUAUUUGAAUUUUUAUAUGUGGAUCAUACUGCUUCCGCAUCUUUGGCGUGAUCAAGGUGAGUGAGUCGAUGCAGGGCUGGCACUGGAGAUUGCAGAGCGUUUUCCAUUGCUGAUCACGUCGAGGAAUACUAUGGCGGUAACCCCAUUGCAGCUGAUGGUGACCGUUCCGGGGUUAUUCCGAAGCCAAAUGGUAAUUGGCGGCUUCGAGUCCAUCCUCCAUGACUGUAAGUGCUGCCCCGCCUCUUCCUUCAACGCCCCCAGCGCCCCGCCCUCCCCCCUGCUUCUCUAUUUAUUGCACUACAUUUCCUACCAACGACUACCUUAAUUUAGCGAUCGUUCGACGUCCAAAUCUAUUGAGAAUUUACCAAGGGGUGUUUUUUUCUCAUUAUCGGAACACAUAUACCCUUGCUUAUUUGGAUUUAUUAUAUGGUUUUGUGUUAAACGCAUCAAAUCUAAUCGGUUGAGUCUGGUUUGCUCUCUGUUCUUUGUUCUUUCACGUCUCCUCCUCCUACCCUCAAUUCACCCUUUGUUUGUCACCCUUUCACCCUUAUUCUUUCUUCUUCAAGGAGGAGGAGCAGAGGAGGAGGAGGAGAGGAAGCGACACAAGGUUGACUGGUUCAUUGAACCGGUUCACUGAUCCAAACUGUUUCAGUGAAUCAUUUCAAAAAGUUCGAAAUGUAAUUAAAUUGGAAUAGGAGGAUAAAGUUAGAAUUUACCAAAAAAACAUUCCUAAAUAAUUUCUGAAUAUAUAUAUAUAUAUAUAUAUAUAUAUAUAUAAUAAUACNNNNNNNNNNNNNNNNNNNNUAUAUAUAUAUAUAUAUAUAUAUAUAUAUAUAUAAAAUCUGAUGUAACGGGAUAAUUGACUUAUUAACUUCACUAAACUUGGAUCAUUGAUCUGAAUAAUUAAGUUUAAAUUAAUAAUAAUACACUUAUCAAAUCUCUAUAAAUUAAUCUUAGUAUUUGUCUAGUUUUAAUUUUCGAUGUGAAGUAAAAUUAUAAUUGUUCUCAGAAAAAUAUAGUUAUGAUGACAAUUAAACAUCAAGUAUUUUGAUACCAACGUACAUGCUCCUAAAAGUUUGAUUUUAUAUUUCAGUAAUUCCUUUGGAGAAGGACUCACACAGGACACGUCAAAGAGAUGAAGAGGAGGCAUCUGAAAGCUCCAACGAUGCCGGUGUAUGUGCUUCAAAUCAUCAACAUCUUUUCCAUCACAAUAUCAAUAGUCCACUAUUGUCUCUCUGAUUUGUUUCUCACUUUGGCGUCUACAUAUAUAUAAUCUCAAGCAAGCUGAAGCCACAGAGCAAGAUGACCACGAAUAUUUCGGGAGGCAGAGAACAAUUCGUUCGAGAUUUCCAUCUUGCUGCUGUACUCUCGUUGACAAAUUAGUCAUCCCAGGCACUCCUACUAGCUUCUCUGUCUACAAUUUUUGUAGUCAUCCAUGUUCUGUUUCAUUACGCUGAUGUAUUCCUUUUUGUGCUUGCAGUCAAAUGGGUUCGUCUGUUUCUUUUCAUCAUUAUAAGGACUUGUGAGUAACUGUUCCCAAACAGUACAUUGAUGAUAUUAAGAGCCAUGUCCUACUGUUUCAUUACGAGUUCUAGCAAAUUAGGAAAGUACUAUAGAAAAGGCUUCUUGUAAUUUAGUUCUCCAAAACCAAGUAGUUUACAUGAUGGAUAAUUAUAGCUUAUUUGCGGAAAAACAUAAAUGGGACGAUUAUGUCGCUGACUUCUUCUGAUGUUAAUUUGGAGAUGCAAUGCGUUAUGCAGUGUACCCUCGAACCCGACAUCUGGAGAAGAUUAAGAGAACCCAUAGAAAAGCCUUGGAACUCAUCGAAUUUUUAGCCCGCGACCCGAGAAACAUGGAGUUCUACGUGCUGGGAAGAAAACAAGGUGACGGCGGUGCUCCUGCGGCAGACCUUCGAGAAAGAGGUGAGGGACAAGAUCAACUUACCGCACCGGCUGAGUCAUACAGAAGAUGGAACGAGCCACCCUUGAUCUUGGGUGCACAAAUGGGCAUUCCCGAGUUCGUCAGGACGAUCUUACAAGUGUGUCCGGAGGCAGCUACGUAUCUGGACACCCAAGGUCGAAGCGUUCUCCAAGUAGCAAUACGGCAUGGUAACCGAGAUAUUGUGAGAACUAUACGUGAGAUGACUCGAGGGAAGAAUCCCAUACUACCAUUCUGGCUACUGUCUCGCGUCGACAAAGGGACCGGAAGAACCAUCCUGCACUUGGCUUCGGCAACUGCCCCCGAGCAUAACCAAGAUGCUCUACAAAUGCAAGAUGAAUUAAGAUGGUUUGAGGUCAAGUCCCUAACUACAUUAACUACAAAUAAAAUCUUUACAUUCUCGGAGUUGCCUACUAAAUUUGAUCGUUUUCUGACAUUUUUAUGCAGACGGUGAGAGAUAUGGUUCCUAAGGAAUUAGUGUACAGUAGAAACGCGGAAGAGACGACCGCAGAAGAGAUGUUUACUGAGAGUCACAAAGAUUUGCUCAAGAGUUGCAAGGUUCAACUAAUGGAAACGGGCAGACUGUGUUCCGGGCUGGUCGCAGCUGUAGUGUUCGCGUCAAGCUUCUCAGUCCCCGGCGAUAAGGACCCAACCACCGGCAACCCGGUUUACUUCGGUAGGGCAGCUUUUACGGUCUUCUCACACACGUACGUGUUUGGGCUUUCAUGCGCCGCGACAUCUCUGGUGUUGUUCUUAUCCCUCGCCAUGUCACCUUACAAGGAACAGCAGUUCCGUCGUAUCAUCCCAAUCAAAUACUUCUUUGCCCGCUCGUCGUUUGGGUUGGCGAUGCUGUCUUUUCUGGUGGCGUUCACCUGCAACAUCUACCUACAGAUAUAUGGCUGGCAGAAGACGAAGUCGAAGGACUUGAUUCCAUUCAUAUUGGAGCUCACCGCCUUCCCUUUCAUCUGUUUCCUGGUGUUAUUCUUUUAUGGCUCCAAGUUCGGUCUAUCUUUUCUUUUUCAUUCUUGGCGUUGAGUCAACAAGCAUGAUCGUCCACACGAAUCUGGCAGGUUCAUGAUGUACGUGGGUUGUACCUAUUACGGUAUGUCGCCUGUUCCAGUGGUAUGCGGUGGUAGAAGUCAUUGGACAGUUAAAUAUCUUGUGUGUACAAGCAGCAACAAAGGCAUGUUAUAUGUGGCCGCUAUUUGAUUGUAACUUUAAUGUGGUCUUUUCUUCUAUCUUAAAUUAGAUAAUGAUAUAGGCGCCACGGUAGACAACAAAUCUGAUCACCAAUAAUGGUGAUGGCCCAUCAAUACUGAAUAAUGGUGAUGGCCCUGCCUAUUGUUUUUGGACUAAUGUCCAUAUGACAUAGCUGUUGAUGGGAUCUUAUCCUCUCACCGUUGACUGUAUUGUCAUGUAAGAUAUGCAUGGACGUCCUUUCGUUUUCCCAGAGAUCGGCUAGAAGAUAGGAUCGAGUCUUAUUGAAUCUUCUGUGACAAUCAAGUAGUCUUUAUCGUACAAUUUUGGCCCACCAAAGUUUGCACAGGCAAACGAAAUGAUUGGCUUAUAGAAGCCGAUCGUUCAAGAAGUGAAGGACGUCAAUUUUGGAUUGAAAAAAGAUCAUUUAGCUUUUCAAAAAAGAAAAAGAAUAACCUUUAUAAAAUGGAUAGAAAACUCUCCGUGGAGGCCUUUACACCGCUCCUUAGCAGCAUCCAUGGACUGGAGUCAAUAAGAAACAUUUAAGAAAAGAUAGAAACAGACGUAUCGUUGUCCAAAGAGUGAAGAAGACAAACUAACCACAAGCAAUGCUCGUCUAUUUUAAUGACCUGUCACAAGUCUAAUACAGCCACAAAACAUUAAAAAAAAGGAAGAAGCUUGUUUAUGAGGUGCCAAAGGUUAUGGACAUCUAUCUGAUUCACGCACGGAAUGGUCACCAUCCCCGAGCACCUCUUUCGAAGCCAAUUGUUUGGUCGGCACCUUUGAUUCCUUUCUCUGUAUCUGUCCAAGUGCUGCUCGCCCUUUCUCAAGUACUUUCUAAUCCUCUAUCCAUCUCUCCAUUUUUAUUUUUCUACUUUUACUGUUAUAAUAAGUUUUUUAAAUUAUUUUUAUUACAUUAAAUUACAUAUAAGACAUCCUUAUAUAAACAUAUCAUUAUAUUGCCACGACUAUAUAGACGCUUAUUCUAUAUACAAACUAGAAAUAGACAAAAGGAUACCAAUAAAAUAAAGAGACACCGCAAUAAGAAUCGGAUUUGGUAAAGUAUUUUCCUCAAACGAGCUUGGAGGAUCGGAUAAGAGUUUUGUAAAGAGACCACUGCUCCUGAAAUGAAAACCAAUCGUCGUGCUUUCAAUUAAUAAAACCAAUCAUGCAUACCGUUUUCUAAAGUGUUCAAUGAGGAGACAACAUAAGUAAUUGUCAGUUCACGCAUAUUACUUACCGUACGCAGAAGGAGGCGUAGGUACGUCGGUCGAUGGUCACUUGAUCUCCUUCCUGGCCAUCAUAUAAAGGGAGGCCUUCAGGUGCUCAUCUAAGACCACCAAGGGUACGUGAAGGUUGAAGACGUAGCCAUGGAUCCUUCGGGAAGCCAUUCGGCCCUCGCAACAGAUAACAGUGAUGACGAGAAUAGACGACCUAGCGUCUUCGACGUGGAUCACUUUUGCACCGUGACGUCUCUGAUUCAGCAGGAGAAGUACGAGGAUCUAUUACCCCUAGCCAUGAAGAAGGAUCCUCCACUCAACCUCAUGGAGGACCCUGUGCUCAACGUCGUCAUCGAAUACAAGAAGACCGACCUCGCCAAACGGCAGAUUCAAAACAUGCCCGCGGAGAAGAAGCCCGCGGAGAAGCCCGGACCGCUGUGGUACGCUAAUUACCACGGCGACACGGCUCUCCAUGUCGCGGCCACCGUGGGUGACCUCGACGUGGCCAAGGCGUUGGUCUGGAAGAACUCAGAACUCAGAACUCGUCAGUGCACGCAACUGGAAGAACGAGACACCGCUGCACAAAGCGGCGCUGUACGGGCACGAGACGAUGUUCUGGGACCUGGUGGAAAUGGGGUCGCACGCCCCGGACGAGCGGAGGGAGGACGGCGCCACCGUGCUGCACUGUGCCAUCAUGGGCAGCGCGCCGGGUGAGUUGUAAUCAAUUCCAGGAAGCCAUAGUCAUAUAUAGCUCCUUUCUUGUUUUCCAAAAAUAUGUUUACAUAGUUGAAUUGUAAUGUAGCUUUAGCACUGAAGAUUGCCAAGACAUAUCCACCGCUGAUCACGUCGCGGAAUGAUGAUGCGGUGACUCCGAUGCAGCUGACGGUGACAAUUCCAGGGUUAUUCCGAAGCCUAACGAAUCUUGGGCCCUUAGAGGCCGUAAUUUAUAAGCGUGAGUCGUAAUGUAAUUUCUAGGAUUUACAUCACCAUAAAACAUUCACAGCAUGUAGUUAUGGUAACUAAGGCUUUGUUACAUCAAAUAAAAGCACACCAAUAUGCAUGCUAGCUCUUGAAACUUCAUGGCUGUAUACUUUGAUUGCAAUGUUGCAGUGAUUCCAUACGAAGACUCCAGCGAGCCACGUGCAGUAGAUGAAGAGACAACCAGGGUCUCGAGCGCUGUUGAAGUAUGUGCUUCCGGAUGAAUCAUUUUGUUUUGCAUGAUGGCAUUGAUAUAGUUCAUGAGGUCGAUAGCAUCUUUUCUACUACUUGUCAAUAAUAUUUAUCACAAAAUUUAAGAGCAGUUUUUUCCUCAAACUAGACAAUAUAAAGUUUGAUCUACCAUGUGUUAGAAAUUUUUGUAAUAUCAGUCGAAGUCAUUCUGGUUAGGGUUAACGAAUUACCCUUUUAGGAUAUUUCUAUUCAUCUCACACAUAUGAAUAUGGGUUUUGAAAGUCUUUCACAUAUUCACAAAGGUUUAAACUUAAUACAUGUAACUCAAUUUUUAAGUCUUUCUCUUCUUUGAAGGGUUCAAACUUUGAGUUCAUAUAUUUUUUAACUUUACGAUACGGUUCACAUAUCUACAUCUAUCCAAUGGUACGACUCAUCUACAUUCAGUGGCUGGAAUAUUAUGUAAUUUUUUUUUAGAAACGAUAAGUUUGAGCCAUAUUCUAGUUAGGGUUAAUGUAUAUUAGGUCAUACGUCAUACAUCAAUUGAAUCUAGAAACUUUGAUUAUUAUAUUAUCAAUCAAAUUUAGUAUAUGUAACUAGACUCUUUCAAUUAUUAGUAACAUGAGACUAUCCUCUUAGAAUAUUUCUUUUCAUCUCAUAUAUGAUUUGUCCCUGCACGAGUAUUAUUUCCUUGUAUUGUCUCUGACGUUGGCGUCUACAUGUACUUAAUAAGGGAGGUGCAAAAUAUAUCAAGCGAAAGGUUGUGUCUCUUCUGCCCCCCAAAACGUUUCGUUCGAAAUUCCCAUCUCACUACAGCAGUCUCUUUGACCUGCGGGAAUUGAUGUUCAUCCCAGGUACUCACUCCUACGAGCUUCUCUAUUUACAUUUCUUACCUGGAUCUUAUUGUUGGAUCACAGUACUACACUGAUUCGUGCUUCUGUUGAUGCAGCCAGAUGGGUUCAUUUGUUGCUUUUCCGCAUUCUAAAGCAAUGUAAGUCAUUGUUCGUGGAUGGAUGCAUGAUGUUUAGACAUGUUGUCCUUUUCCAAUUAAUGUUAGUGGAAUUGCAAUGCAUCAUGCAGUGUUCCCUAUGAUCGAACGUCUGGAGAAGCAAAAGAAAACCCACAAGGAAACCUUGGAACUGAUCGAGUUCUUAGCCUAUUAUCCUAGGCACAUGGAGUUCUAUUCCAAGGGAAGACGAAAAGGCAAGGAGGAAAGUCUUCUUGUUGGAGACAUCACCAGUUCUACAACAAGACAGUCUCCUCCGUCAACAGACGCUGGUGAAGGCCAAGGAGUAAAUGGAGGAGGGAACCGAGAUCAAGACUUUGAUAGGUUUGCGGAAAAGCUAUUUAUGUAUAUGUCGCACAAGGAUGCCAAUCACGAAGCAGUAGCAAAAGAGCUCAAGAAGAGCAUGAAGGAGUCGAUGGAGGAAGUGUCCGGUGAAUCCACAAUUAGAAGAUGGGACGAGCCGCCCCUGAUCUUGGGUGCACAAAUGGGUCUUCCUGAGUUCGUCAGGACGAUCUUGCUAGUAUGUUCGCAGGCAGCAGCAUACCUGGACACCAAGGGGAGAAGCGUUCUCCAAGUCGCAGUCAUGUAUCGUCGCGAGGAGAUUGUCAAGAUCAUAAUGGACAUGAGAAACAUUUUACCAUCCUGGUUAUUUUCCGAAAUCGAACCCAAAACCGGGAACACCAUCGUGCAUCUUGCUUCACGUGGAAGCCCUGAUGUAGCAAAGGAAGCGCAAGACGAACCGGAUGCAAUGCAACUGCAUUACGAUUUAGUAUGGUUUGAGGUAAAGUUGCUAAACUUUUUUGCCCCCCUCCUCAAAUUUUGACAUGCUUCUCAAAAGUAUUAUCCGUUCAAUUCUUUGACAUGCAUUCUUCGGUGUCGGUUGUGGGUUAUUCGCGCAUAAUACAAAAUAACCAACAAAUACACAAAUAAAAUCUACGUAUUCUCAGAGUUGCGUACUAAAUUUGAUCGUUUUCUGACAUUUGAAUGCAGACGGUGAGAGAUAUGGUUCCUAAGGAAUUAGUGUACAGUCGGAACGCGCAAACGAAGACCGCAGAAGAGAUGUUUACUGAGAGUCACCGAGCGAUGCUAAAGAGUUACAAGGGUCAACUAAUGGAAACGGGCAGGACGUGUUCAGGGCUUGUCGCUGCUGUAGUGUUCGCGUCGAGCUUCUCCAUCCCCGGCGAUAAGGACCCAGCGACCGGCAACCCGGUUUACUUCGGUAGGCCAGCUUUUAAGGUCUUCUCACAUGCGUACGUGAUUGGGUUGUCAUGCGCCGCCACAUCUCUGGUGUUGUUCUUAUCCCUCGCUAUGUCACCUUACAACGAGCAGCAGUUCCAUCGUAUCAUCCCAACCAAAUACUUCUUUGCCCGCUCGUCGUUUGCGAUGGCGAUGCUGUCUUUUCUGGUGGCGUUCACCUGCAACAUCUACCUACAGAUGUAUGGCUGGCAGAAGGCGAAGUCGAAGGACUUGAUUCCAUUCGUAUUGGAGCUCACCGUCUUCCCCGUCAUCUGUUUCCUGGUGUUGUUCUUUCGUGGCUCCGAUUUCGUCUUUGGGGUUGAGUCAACAAGCAUGAUCGUCCACAUCGUUGGAAUCUGCAGCUUCAUGAUGCACGUGGGUUGUACCUAUUACGGUAUGCCACCUGUUCUAGUGGUGUGUGGUGGUGGUAGUCAUUGGACAGUUAAUAACUUGUGUGUACGGGCAGCGACAAAGGCAUGUGGUGUAUAGACAACAGAGCUGGUCACCAAUAAUGGUGAUGGGCCUCUCUAUUGUUUUUGACGAAGUCAAUAUGACACAACUGUUGACCGGAUCUCACCCUGUAUUGUAAUGUAUACUGUCACAUGUCGAGCGACAGAUUUCCCCUAUCGCAUGCAAAUUGCAGUGAGAUGUAUGGACGUCCUUUUGGUUUCCCAGAGGUCGGCUAGAAGAUAGGCUCGAGUUUUAUUGAAUCUUCUGUGACAAAUCACAUAGUCUAUAUCGUAAAGUUCUGGCCCGCCAAAGUUUGCACAGGCAAACGAAAUGAUUGGCUUAUAGAAGCCAAUCAUUCAAGAAGCGAAGGACAUCAAUUUUGGAUUAAAAAAAUAUCAACAAAAAAAAAAUUCACCUUUGUAGAAAGGAAAGAAAACCCUCCUUCGCAUCAUCUAUGGAGUCGAAUAAGAAAGAUUUAAGAAAAGAUAGAAAUGAUCCGAGUGAAGAAGACAAAUUAACGAGCAGCAAUGCUCGUCUAUUCCAAAGACCUGCCACGAGAAUAAUACAGCGAGAAAAAAUGAAAAGAAAAGAAAAGAAAGAAGCUUAUUUAUGAGGUGCGAAAGGUUAUGGACAUCCGAUUCACACUGUUGUAGCCGAUGGUUACUAUCCUCCUCCGAAGCCAACUUGUGCUCGGCUACUUUGAUUCCUUUCUCUAUGACUGUCUCAAGUGCCGCUCGUCCUUUUCCAAUUACUUUUUAUAUAAAAUUAAUAUAUUUUAUAUAACAAAAGAGUAAUUUAUAUAUAUAAAAAAAUUAUUCUAAAUUAUUCAAAAUAUAUUAUUACACUAUCAUUCAAAGAAUGUGUUGCAUAUUAAUUUUUUUUAUAUAUAAAGAAUCCUAUUAAACAUGAGGUAUUACAAAAAAAAAAUAGCUCUCUCCAACAACCUCCUGUCAUGUCAACUUCUAGUAAAAUCCCUUUUAGCUUGAGAAAAGAAGUUCUUCGUUAAUACUAUAAUUGAGACUGCCACCGCAAGUAAAACCAGUGUUUGGUACCCUGUCUCCGUUCCACCAUGCGCUGACGUUAUCAGAUUCCCUUUCGCUGAUCUAUACAUCUUAUUGUCAUAAGACGUGAGACUGAAAGUGAUAUGUUGGAGGAAACUAUUAAUUAUAUUUCUAUUUAUUAUUGGUUGACCGAUGGAGAUGAUUACUUUACUUGAGAUGUCAUGUUGAGGUAAUUAAAUCAUGCCAACGCAGAUUCGAAUAAUAAAAUUCUAUUAGCUUGUCAUUAAGCAAAAGACACCCACUCGAAGAUAACUUGAUUUGGAGCUACAAAUGAUAACACUGAGAGCAAAAGAUUCAAUAAAGAGAUGUUGCCAUAAUCCCGGGUGCAUAAAAAGAAUCGGAGACCAACCAAAGGGUCGUCAACUCCAAAGACUUGCGAUGAGUAUGAUCUACAAAAACUUUUCUAUAAGGUGCAAGUUGAAUGAUCGGUGGAGACCCACAAGUAGAGCUUUGGGUGCAGGCUUCCGGAUUAUUGUUUCCUGUAGAGCAAGAAUCGUUGACCCACAAGUUAAAGCUGCUGUCUAGCUUUAACGUAUGUGAAUUAUUCAUUAGUAGGUUGGCCUCUGUAACAUACGAUUAAUUUGUUGUCGAAUCUUUUGUGAAUGAGAUGGAGGGUGCUUAAUUUGUUAGUGAAAGAAAAGUCAAUAAUGAGAAAAAGGGCAGAGAAGAAAACGCAAGAUGAAAGCUCAUCUGGAGAGUUCUUCAUGGCAGUGCCACUUUAAGAGGGGAGAUAGGUUGGAAGGGGUCCAAAGGGGAUCUGUACUAAACUUGGAACGGUUUAGCUGGUUUGAGCAAAGAAUCCGACGCCAUUUUCCGACACUAAGCGACGCCAAUCGACUGAAAAGGAGGGAGGCGUACGACGAUGGAUGAGAGCCAAAAGGAUAAGCUAAUCUGCUUGUUAAGGCAGGCCUUCAGGUUUCUUUAGUUUCGCAGUAGAAAUCAGGAGGCGAAGGCGUACGAACGAGUUGUACGCACCAUAUAGCAACUGCACCAUAUAUAUUUUUGGUCGGUGAGAACGUAGCGAAAGGAGCGGCUCCCUUCGGUGUGUUUUGGAUAUGACGGCUCCUUCCACCACCCAAAAGCUGACGCCUGCUGCAGAUGUAGGCACCGGAUCAGGGAGAAAAGUAGAGAAACAGCCGUCUGUACCCGGGAAAUCGCAGCCUGCACACGGCGCAGGUGGUGGUGGAUCAGAGGAGCCACCGCAUGCCCUGGACGUGGCACGCUUCCGCCGGCUGAACUCGCUCAUCCACCGUGAGAACGUGGACGCGAACAAACUCCUGCGUCUAGUGGAGCAGGAUAACCACGUGAACCUCAUGAACGACCCCUUGCUCAGCGUCGUCAUCGCCUGCAAGAAGCCCAAGCUCGCCUGCAGCCUCAUCGACAAAAUAUCAUCAAAUGACAUUCUCAAGGCCAGCAACUUAAACGGCGACACGGCGCUUCACGUAGCUGCCGCCAUGGACGACAAAGAAGUGGCCUCGAAGCUGAUCGACAGGGUGCCAGAUCUCGUUCAUAUGCAGAACGUGAAACAGGAGAUACCGCUACAUAAGGCGGCGCUGUACGGGCUGCUGGACAUGUUCUGGCUGCUGGUGGAAAAUAACAGCUCACCGAAAGCCCGGAGGGAGGACGGCGCCACCAUGCUGCACUGUGCCAUCAUGGGCAACGCGCCGGGUAAGCGAUCAUCACCAGUUUUGUUGGUCUGGCGCUGGCCAGCUGUCUUUCUCUUGUUUUUAUCCUAUUUUUUUGAAGUGUUGUAUGUGGAUCAUACUGCUUCCGCAUCUUUGGUGUGAUCAAGGUGAGUGAGUCGACGCAGGGCUUGCACUGGAGAUUGCAAAGCGUUUUCCAUUGCUGAUCACAUCGCGGAAUACUAUGGCGGUAACCCCGUUGCAGCUGAUGGUGACCGUUCCGGGGUUAUUCCGAAGCCAAAUGGUAAUUGGCGGCUUCGAGUCCAUCCUCCAUGACUGUAAGUGCUGCCCCGCCUCUUCCUUCAACGCCCCCAGCGCCCCGCCCUCCCCCCUGCUUCUCUAUUUAUUGCACUACAUUUCCUACUAACGACUACCUUAAUUUAGCGAUCGUUCGACGUCCAAAUUUAUCGAGAAUUUACCAAGGGGUGUUUUGUUUCUCAUUAUCGGGACACAUAUACCCUUGAUUUUUUGGAUUUAUUAUAUGGUUUUGUGUUAAACCGAAUCAAAUCUAAUCGGUCGAAUCUGGUUUGCACUCUGUUCUUUUUUCUUUCACAUGUCUCCUCCUCCUUCCCUCGAUUCGCCCUUUUUGUUGUCACCCUUUCACCCUUAUUCUUUCUUCUUCAAGGAGGAGGAGGAGAGGAAGCGACACAAGGUUGACCGGUUCAUUGAACCGGUUCGCUCAUCGAAACUGUUUUUGUGAAUCAUUUCAAAAAGUUUGAAACGAAAUUAAUUGGAAUAGGAGGAUAAAGUUAGAAUUUACCAAAAAAAAAAACAUUCCUAAAUAAUUUCUGAAUAGAGGGGCGUGAUAGAAACCAAUUACUAAUAAUCUUUUAGGUGAAUUAUUAUUAUUAUUAUUAUUAUUAUUAUUAUUAUUAUUAUUAUUAUUAUUAUUAUUAUAUAUAAAUAUAAUAUGGUGUAACGGAAUUAUUGACUUAGUAACUUCACUGAACUUGGAUCGUUGAUCUGAAUAAUUAAGUUUAAAUUAAUAAUAAUACACUCAUCAAAUCUCUAUAAAUUAAUCUUAGAAUUUGUCUACUUUUAAUUUUCGAUGUGAAGUAAAAUUAUAAUUGUUCUCAGAAAAAUAUAGUUAUGAUGAAACUUAAACAUCAAGCAUUUUGAUACCAGUAGUGUACAUGCUCCUAAAAUUUUGAUUUUACAUUUCAGUUAUUCCUUUGGAGAAGGACUCAGACAGGACUCGUCGAAGAGAUGAAGAGGAGGCAAGUGGAAGCUCCAACGAUGCCGGUGUAUGUGAUUCAAAUCAUCAACAUCUUUUCCAUCACAAUAUCAAUAGUCCACUAUUGUCUCUCUGAUUUGUUUCUCUUUUUGGCGUCUACAUAUAUAUAAUCUCAAGCAAGCUGAGGGCACAGAACAAGAUGACCACGAAUAUUUCGGGAGGCAGAGAACAAUUCGUUCGAGAUUUCCAUCUUGCUGCUGUACUCUCGUUGACAUAUUAGUCAUCCCAGGCACUCCUACUAGCUUCUCUGUCUACAAUUUUUGUAGUCAUCCAUGUUCUGUUUCAUUACGCUGAUGUUUUCCUUUUUGUCCUUGCAGUCAAAUGGGUUCGUCUGUUUCUCUUCAUCAUUUUAAAGACCUGUGAGUAAUUGUUCCCAAACAGUACAUUGAUGAUAUUUAGAACCAUGUCCUACUGUUUCAUUACGAGUUUUAGCAAAUUAGGAAAGUACUAUAGAAAAGGCUUCUUGUAAUUUAGUUCUCCAAAACCAAGUAGUUUACAUGAUGGAUAAUUAUAGCUUAUUUGCGGAAAAACAUAGAUGGGAUGAUCAUGUCGCUGACUUCUUCUGAUGUUAAUUUGGAGAUGCAAUGCGUUUAAGAUUAAUUUAGUUCUUCUGAUGAUCAUGUCGGAAAAACAUAAAUGCAGUGUACCCUCGAACCCGACAUCUGGAGAAGAUUAAGAGAACCCAUAGAAAAGCCUUGGAACUCAUCGAAUUUUUAGCCCGCGAACCGAGAAACAUGGAGUUCUACGUGCUGGGAAGCAAACAAGGUGACGGCGGAGCUCCUGCGGCAGGCUUUCGAGAAAGUGGUGGGCGACAAGAUCAACUUAAUGCACCAGCUGCGUCUACCAGAAGAUGGAAUGAGCCACCCUUGAUCUUGGGUGCACAAAUGGGCAUUCCCGAGUUCGUCAGUACGAUCUUACGAGUGUGUCCGCAGGCAGCUACGUACCUGGACACCGGUGGCCGAAGCGUUCUCCAAGUAGCAAUAAAGCAUGGUAACCGAGAGAUUGUGAGAACUAUACGUGAGAUGACUCGGGGGAAUAAUCCCAUACUACCAUCCUGGCUACUGUCCCGUGUCGACAAAGGGACCGGAAGAACCAUCCUACACCUUGCGUCGGCAAAUGCCCCCAAGCAUACCCAAGAUGCUCUACAAAUGCAAGAUGAAUUAAGAUGGUUUGAGGUCAAGUCCCUAACUACAUUAACUACAAAUAAAAUCUUUACAUUCUCGGAGCUGCCUACUAAAUUUGAUCGUUUUCUGACAUUUGUAUGCAGAGGGUGAGAGAUAUGGUUCCUAAGGAAUUAGUGUACAGUCGAAACGCGCAAGAGAUGACCGCAGAAGAGAUGUUUACUCUGAGUCACCAAGCUUUGCUCAAGAAUUGCAAGGAUCAACUAAUGGAAACGGGCAGGCUGUGUUCAGGGCUGGUCGCAGCUGUAGUGUUCGCGUCGAGCUUCUCAGUCCCCGGCGAUAAGGACCCAGCCACCGGCAACCCGGUUUACUUCGGUAGGGCAGCUUUUACGGUCUUCUCACACACGUACGUGUUUGGGCUUUCAUGCGCCGCGACAUCUCUGGUGUUGUUCUUAUCCCUCGCCAUGUCACCUUACAAGGAACAGCAGUUCCGUCGUAUCAUCCCAAUCAAAUACUUCUUUGCCCGCUCGUCGUUUGGGUUGGCGAUGCUGUCUUUUCUGGUGGCGUUCACCUGCAACAUCUACCUGCAGUUAUAUGGCUGGCAGAAGACGAAGUCGAAGGACUUGAUUCCAUUCAUAUUGGAGCUCACCGCCUUCCCUUUCAUCUGUUUCCUGGUGUUAUUCUUUUAUGGCUCCAAGUUCUUUUAUGGCUCCAAGUUCGGUCUAUCUUUUCUUUUUCGUUCUUGGCGUUGAGUCAACAAGCAUGAUCGUCCACAUCCUUCGAAUCUGCAGCUUCAUGAUGUACGUGGGUUAUACCUAUUACGGUAUGCCGCCUGUUCCAGUGGUGUGUGGUGGUGGUAGUCAUUGGACAGUUAAUAACUUAUGUGUACAAGCAGCGACAAAGGCAUGUGAUGUAUGGACGCUAUUUGAUUGCAACUUUAAUGUGGU
rnacentral:lncRNA from 1 species